CGCAGCGAGGAAGAAGUAGAGGGAGGGAGAGAAGCAGCUGGGCGCGCAGGGAGAACGCGCCAUGGCUGAGGGAGCUCGGGACACAGGAGCGCCGCGAAGAGGAAGCUCUGCGAGCUGGGAUCCGGCGCCGGGGAAGGAAGAAAGAAGAGCGGCUGUCAGGAGGGGAGGAGACGCGGCUAGGGAGGGACUCCGCUGGUGCUCCACUCGACGACCGGAGAUGAGGCGACUUGGGAAGAGCCUGGGCGUCGGCCAGGAAGAUAGGUCAGGGGGCACGGCGGCAUGGCGAGGGAGCCGGCGAGCGCAGGGGCUCCACGAGCUGAGGGGGCGCGGCGAUGGGAGCUCAGCACGGAUCUUGGCAAGGCGUGGCCAUGGGAGGAGCGACCGGCGCAGAGAACUUGAGGAACGCGCGAUAGGAAGAUGGAGCAGGGAGAUGAAGAAGGGUGUCGUGCUCAUCAACAGGAAGGGAAGGAGCAGGGGACGACCAUGGGAAAGCGGCAACAGGG
rnacentral:misc_RNA from 1 species